AGUGAACGUUGGCGGCGUGGAUUAGGCAUGCAAGUCGAGCGAUCGUAGCAAUACGGGAGCGGCAAACGGGGGUAGGAAUACAUCGGAACGUACCUUUUGGUUGAGAAUAGCGUUGGGAAACUGACGGUAAUACUCAAUAAAGUCGAGAGACCAAAGGUUUGCUGCCGGAAGAGCGGCCGAUGCGAUAUUAGGUAGUUGGUGGGGUAAUGGCCUACCAAGCCUGAGAUGUCUAGGGGGUGUGAGAGCAUGGCCCCACCACUGGGACUGAGAUACUGCCCAGACACCUACGGGUGGCUGCAGUCGAGGAUCUUCGUCAAUGGGCGAAAGCCUGAACGAGCGACGCCGCGUGCGGGAUGAAGGCCCUUGGGUUGUAAACCGCUGUCAGGGGGGAUGAAACCGUAAGGUUGACAGAGCCCCAGAGGAAGCACGGGCUAAGUUCGUGCCAGCAGCCGCGGUAAU
rnacentral:rRNA from 1 species